rnacentral:rRNA from 1 species
UACGAAGGGGACUAGCGUUGUUCGGAAUCACUGGGCGUAAAGCGCUCGUAGGCGGAUGUGUCAGUCAGGGGUGAAAUCCCGGGGCUCAACCUCGGAACUGCCUUUGAUACAGCACGUCUCGAGUCCGGAAGAGGUGGGUGGAAUUCCUAGUGUAGAGGUGAAAUUCGUAGAUAUUAGGAAGAACACCGGUGGCGAAGGCGGCCCACUGGUCCGGUACUGACGCUGAGGUGCGAAAGCGUGGGGAGCAAACAGG